UUUAUCAACCCAGGUCCUAGUCUAUUUAUCAACCCAGGUCCUAGCCUAUUUAUCAACCUAGAUCAUUGCCUAUUUAUCAACCCAGGUCCUAGUCUAUUUAUCAACCCAGGUCCUAGUCUAUUCAUCAACCCAGGUCCUAGCCUAAUUAACCAACCCAGGUCCUAGCCUAUUUAUCAACCCAGGGACAAGGUAAUUAAUCAACCCAGGUCCUAACCUAUUUAUCAACCCAGGUCCUAGCCUAUAUAUCAACCUAGGUCCUAGGCUAUUUAUCAACCCAGGUCCUAGCCUAUUUAUCAACCCAG
rnacentral:lncRNA from 1 species